rnacentral:tRNA from 1 species
CCCCCGGUAGCCCAAUUGGCAGUAGGCAGCGGUCCUAAACACCGCAAAGUGUGGGUUCGAAUCCCACUCGGGGCA